GAGACUAUACUCUCAAGGAUCAUUUCUAUAGUUUGUUACUAAAGAAGUUUCUCUGAAUUUGUAGAGCACUGAAACUAUUAAAAAAAAUUAAAUUACAGGUAGG
ensembl:snoRNA U3 Small nucleolar RNA U3